UCAAAUUUUGACAUGGAUAAACAAUUUUCUUUCUCACGUAUAUAGCUUAUAUGCCUUUAUUUUAGUAUGUAAGUAACUUAUUUCUUAUUAAAUGAGUUAGAUGAAUAAAUCAGGUCAAAUCAAAACCACGCUGUUUUCAUUCCUCUAAUCGGUGUUCUGGUUCAAAUGCUAAAAGAAACAAUUGUAAAAGUAAGUAAAAUUUGUUUUUAAAUGUCGAGUUAAAUUAAAGAUGUUCCCCAAUGUGUACAUUUCCAGGAAAAUGUAUUUUAACUUCCUUUUAUGCUCGUUCAUUGAAGAAAAGAACAAGGGUAACAGCGACGCACAAGAAGGGAUCACCACGGGACGAGCGAGACACUACUUUAAAUCGAGUAAGUACGUUAUUUCUAAUAUUUGCAAACGGUUUUUCAUUACUUUCUGAGAAAAAUUGAUAUGAAUGGCGGUAUGAGGAGUUCCAGCGGAAAGUAAUGUCUUUAACCAAUUACACUGUACCAGCAACAACUGAUGAAAUUGGGACGAACAACGAGUCCAAACGUUUGCCAAAAUUAAGAAGUUUUCAGCGUAAUUAUAUUCGUUUCCUUGUGGAAAACUACGCUCAGGAAACUUAGGCAGCAUUUAACUGGAAAGUGCUACACUACUCGCCUCAAGGCUGGUCGCAGUCGUUCACUUAUUGUCUAUUCAAGGAGGUUUUCGCAUUUUUACGGUGAUAACAACAUCUGCGACUGUCGCACGUAUAAAAAUUGCGUCCACCUGAGCGCCCAGAUUCCACAAGUUAAACCGUCCAGAUUCCACAUAUACGGUAAAUAAACCGCCCAGAUUCCACAAGUACGGUAUUGUG